UGAAGCAUGGUGUAGUGGUUUGGGCAUUAGACUGUGACUCUGGAGAUCAGGGUUUGAUUCCCCACUUGGUUAUG